rnacentral:lncRNA from 1 species
CCAGUACAUAGUUGUAUAUUCUUCGUUGUGGGUCCUUCUAGUUGUGGCAUGUGGGACGCCGCCCCAGCGUGGUUCGAUGAGAGGUGCCAUGUCCGCGCCCAGGAUUCAAACCAACGAAACACUGGGCCGCCUGCAGCGGAGCGCGCAAACUUAACCACUCGGCCACGGGGCCAGCCCCUAAGAGUUAUUUCUUAAUUUGGUGCUUCACUGUCUCCUCCUUCUAUUUGGUCACUAUAAGGCCAUCUGUUUUCAUAGAAGUCACCUGAGAACUGUAGACAUGGCAGUUUCAUGAGGUUUUGUUUGUGGAUCCCUUCUUAUCUACACAGUCAGUUCUUUACAUUAACAUGGAUAUACCCCAGGUUUCAGCAUAGAAUCUGGCUAUUUAAAGGCACCUUAAUUGCUACUGAAAAUGAUUGGUUCAGGAUGGAGCAUGUGAUCUGACUUAAACCAAUGAGAAACAAGGAGUAACAUGGAGAGGUACUUCUGGUAAAGUUUUUCUUGUGGCGUUUUUUGAAGCAACCAUCACUUCUUUGUCAUACCGUAUGUGGAAUGCUGCAUCCAUCUGCCAUAUGGCCUGCAAAUUAAACCAUCAUGUGGAAGAGGGCAAAACUAGGAGAGAUGUUGGGGAACAGAGUCUGGACCAUCUUAUUUUUGGACUUCGGUAGGUGUGCGCCAAUAAAUUUUCUUAUUGCUUAAGUCAUGUUGCAAUACAAUUUCUGUUACUUGUAGCUAAUGUUUUCCUAAGUGAGACCUUCAUUUAAAACCUGAAAUAAUCCCUCUUCCCAAUAAGGUCCCUUAACAUGAUGUUAAUGACCAUUUGCAGCCCCCCUCCACUCUCUUCCAGUCUCUUCUCACCACUUCCCACAUACUCCACCAACAUGUACUCCAUCAAUGUUACCUACUCCCACUUUCUUGAACACAUUCUGCAGAACUGAGUUCUUACACAGUCUAGUACCUCUAGAAGGAAUGGCAUAUCUCUCUUACCCUUCAAAACCCAUGGAAAUAUUAUCUCUUCUCUCAUUCCUUGUAAGUAGACUCCACAAUCAACAGUGUUGCUUAUCCCCUACACCAUGCCAGCAUUAUAUAUUCUUAUAUUUUUUCUAAUUACAAAAUCAUUGUUUUUAAUAUUUCAUUUAAGGUUUUAUUUUGUUUAAUCAGCACUGUUUUAUGUGUUUGCUCCUUUACCAUGGUUAUAUCCUCAAUGAACGCAAUGGAAUCUUGUCUAACAGAAUCUGGCAAGUAGUAAAUACUUGAUAAAAGUUAACUUAAAAAACAAAUGAAUGAAAUAGAGCUAGGAUGAUCGUUUCCAGGAUAUAUUAUGUCAAUGGCAUCAAAUAUGCAUUCAUCUUUGCUGGCUGAAG